GACGAACGCUGGCGGCGUGCUUAACACAUGCAAGUCGAACGGAAAGGCCCUGCUUUUGUGGGGUGCUCGAGUGGCGAACGGGUGUGUAACACGUGAGUAACCUGCCCUUUACUUUGGGAUAACUUCAGGAAACUGGGGCUAAUACCGGAUAUGAGCUCCUUCUGCAUGGUGGGUUUGGGAAAUAUUUGCCGUUGGGGGAUGGCCUCGCGGUUUACCAGCUUGUUGGUGGGGUAGUGGCUUACAAAGGCUUGGAGGGGUAGCCGGCCUGGGAGGGUGACCGGCCACAUUGGGACUGAGAUACGGGCCAGACUCCUACGGGAGGCAGCGGUGGGAAAUAUUGCACAAUGGGCGGAGGCCUGAUGGAGCAACGCCGCGUGCGGGAUGACGGCCUUCGGGUUGUAACCCGCUUUCGCCUGUGACGAAGCGUGAGUGACGGUAAUGGGUAAAGAAGCACCGGCUAACUACGUG
rnacentral:rRNA from 1 species